rnacentral:misc_RNA from 1 species
GGCCUCUCUUUCCUUUUUGUGUUCUCACUUUCUUCCAUUACAUUCACUAAUAAUUACUAUCUAGCUCAUAUUUGUUAUCCCUUUUACUUAUCUAAAAAAAAGAUUUGAUUUUUUCAAACACCCAUUCUUGAUUCUUGUGUGUUUGAGUUAAAGAGUUUACCGAGUGUCUAUUUUUGUCUAUGUGAGCUGAUGAAAAAUGGGCUGUUUACAGUCCAAAACUGUAAAUGUUCAGUCCCCUGAUAAAGAACCUUCUCAAGAUGACUCAAAAACAGAUCUUGCUAAUGGGGAUCAAGUAGACCAAGAUCAAGUGCCUGUAUUCAAGGAAUUUAGUCUUGCGGAACUCCGGGCAGCAACAAAUGGCUUUAGCAGUGAAUUAAUAGUUUCUGAAAGUGGUGAGAAAGCUCCCAAUGUUGUCUACAGAGGGAAGCUUCGUAGCAACAGGCUAGCUGCCAUCAAGCGCUUCUCCAGACAAUCGUGGCCUGAUGCCCAACAGUUUGUGGCAGAGGCAGCUGGAGUUGGCAAGGUUCGGCAUAAGAGAUUGGUGAAUCUAAUUGGCUGUUGUGCAGAGGGAGAUGAGCGCCUAUUGGUUGCAGAAUACAUGCCUAAUGAUACUCUCUCGAAGCAUCUCUUCCACUGGGAGAAACAACCGUUGCCGUGGGAGAUGCGAGUAAGAGUUGCAUACUAUAUUGCUCAGGCUCUGGAUCAUUGCAAUACUGAAAACAGAAAAAUAUAUCAUGAUUUGAAUGCUUACAGAAUUCUUUUUGAUGAGGAAGGUGACCCUCGAUUGUCUAGUUUUGGUCUAAUGAAAAAUAGCAGAGAUGGAAAGAGCUAUAGCACAAACUUGGCAUUCACCCCUCCUGAGUAUUUAAGGACU